CAUAGUUCAAUCGCUAUGGAGUCAAAGUCCAUUACAGUCCUUCGGUUUGCGAUUGACUCCAUGGGAAGGCUAUCUGGGGUAAGUCCAUUCGUAUGUUUAAACCCCCCGAACGGCCGGUGUUCGCAUCCUUCUGUCGAUUGAGAAGGGGAGGUCGACGACUUCAGCGGUGUUCGGCAGAAAGAGUGUCCGUUUUCAGUUCCAUGAAAUAUAUGCCGAAC